rfam:Candidatus Kaiserbacteria bacterium RIFCSPLOWO2_02_FTLL_55_12 rifcsplowo2_02_scaffold_7932, whole genome shotgun sequence.
GGGGGUGACCGGCUUUGACGGUCUGUACUUUGAAAGACGUGCGGCGCGGUGCAUGCCCGGAAGCCACCUAAAUCCACUCGGGCACCAAACUUGCCAAGAACACUCUUGCAAGCGCGACAAAGUCACCUUACUUCGGUAAGGUCGGCGACAUCGCGUUCGCCUACGCGACGGCUCGCGGCUAACAACGCCCGAUUCCUCGCCUAGUGCGACGUCUUCCCUUUACCGGCGCUCACAGCGCGAGGGCGGGCGGAAUCAUCUGUGAGCUAGAGCGUUGGACCGUCCAGCCAAGGCUCGAACCUGCGGACUCGCGGUGGAGUGGUUUCGUUCUGAUUCCUCGCACUCACUGUUAAAUACUAAUCGGGACUAUGCGUCGUAGAAACGCUUUCAUAGACGGAUUCGGACCGGGGUCCAAUUCCCCGCACCUCCACUC